rnacentral:rRNA from 1 species
CGGCGUGCCUAACACAUGCAAGUCGAACGGAGUUCUUAAGGAAUGCGACUUCGGUCAAAUUGACUUUUGAACUUAGUGGCGGACGGGUGAGUAACGCGUGAGCAACCUGCCUUUCAGAGGGGGAUAACAUUUGGAAACAGAUGCUAAUACCGCAUAAGAUUACAGUACCGCAUGAUACAGUGAUCAAAGGAGCAAUCCGCUGAAUGAUGGACUCGCGUCCGAUUAGAUAGUUGGUGGGGUAACGGCCUACCAAGUCGACGAUCGGUAGCCGGACUGAGAGGUUGAUCGGCCACAUUGGGACUGAGACACGGCCCAGACUCCUACGGGAGGCAGCAGUGGGGGAUAUUGCACAAUGGAGGAAACUCUGAUGCAGCAACGCCGCGUGAGGGAAGAAGGUCUUCGGAUUGUAAACCUUUGUUUUUGGUGACGAACAAAUGACGGUAGCCAAAGAGGAAGCCACGGCUAACUACGUG